rnacentral:rRNA from 1 species
ACGCUCGACACCUACGGGAAGCAGCAGUGGGGAAUAUUGCACAAUGGGGGAAACCCUGAUGCAGCGACGCCGCGUGAGCGAAGAAGUAUUUCGGUAUGUAAAGCUCUAUCAGCAGGGAAGAAACUGACGGUACCUGACUAAGAAGCACCGGCUAAAUACGUGCAGCAGCCGNGGUAAUCUGAGCGGGCUGGCGAAGGC